CAGCAGCCGCGGGAAUACGGAGGGUGCGAGCGUUAAUCGGAAUUACUGGGCGUAAAGAGUGCGUAGGUGGUUAAUUAAGUUAUCUGUGAAAUUCCUGGGCUUAACCUGGGCAGGUCAGAUAAUACUGGUUAACUCGAGUAUGGGAGAGGGUAGUGGAAUUUCCGGUGUAGCGGUGAAAUGCGUAGAGAUCGGAAGGAACACCAGUGGCGAAGGCGGCUACCUGGCCUAAUACUGACAUUGAGGCACGAAAGCGUGGGGAGCAAACAGGAUUAGAUACCCCGGUAGUCCCUGUCUCUUAUAC
rnacentral:rRNA from 1 species